UAUUAAAAUUUCGGAAGCUUUGGUAGAACAGUUCAUGCAUAAAUGCACGGACACGACUGGAAACUCCAUUUUUCAAUCUUUCAAGAACCAUAACUCCUGAACGGUAAAAGUCAAAUUCGUCAUUAUUGAACUUGACCUCCAUUCUUUCAUAAGUAACAACAUAUUAAAAUUUGGGAAGUUUUGGUAGAACAGUUCAUGCGUAAAUGCACGGACAACUCCAUUUUUCAAUCUUUCAAGAACCAUAACUCCUGAACGGUAAAAGUCAAAAUCGCCAUUAUUGAACUUGACCUUCGUAUAGUUGUCAGUAAUAACAUAUUAAAAUUUAAAA
rnacentral:lncRNA from 1 species